rnacentral:rRNA from 1 species
UACGUAGGGCGCAAGCGUUAUCCGGAAUUAUUGGGCGUAAAGAGCUCGUAGGCGGUUUUGUCGCGUCUGCCGUGAAAGUCCGGGGCUCAACUCCGGAUCUGCGGUGGGUACGGGCAGACUAGAGUGAUGUAGGGGAGACUGGAAUUCCUGGUGUAGCGGUGAAAUGCGCAGAUAUCAGGAGGAACACCGAUGGCGAAGGCAGGGUCUCUGGGCAUUAACUGACGCUGAGGAGCGAAAGCAUGGGGAGCGAACGG